rnacentral:rRNA from 1 species
AUUGAACGCUGGCGGCAGGCCUAACACAUGCAAGUCGAACGCGUGGCGGACGGGUGAGUAAUGUCUGGGAAACUGCCUGAUGGAGGGGGAUAACUACUGGAAACGGUAGCUAAUACCGCAUACCAUCGGAUGUGCCCAGAUGGGAUUAGCUAGUAGGUGGGGUAAAGGCUCACCUAGGCGACGAUCCCUAGCUGGUCUGAGAGGAUGACCAGCCAGACGGGAACGGAGACACGGUCCAGACUCCUACGGGAGGCAGGAGGGGGGAAUAUUGCACAAGGGGCGGAAGCCUGAUGGAGCCAUGCCGCGUGUAUGAAGAAGGCCUUCGGGUUGUAAAGUACUUUCAGCGGGGAGGCGGUACCCGCCGAAGAAGCAACGGCUAACUCCGUGCCAGCAGCCGCGGUAAUUC